rnacentral:rRNA from 1 species
UACUGCCUACGGGGGGCAGCAGUGGGGAAUAUUGCACAAUGGGGGGAACCCUGAUGCAGCGACGCCGCGUGGGCGAGGAAGUAUUUCGGUAUGUAAAGCCCUAUCGGCAGGGAAGAAGAAAUGACGGUACCUGAAUAAGAAGCACCGGCUAAAUACGUGCCAGCAGCCGCGGUAAUACGUAUGGUGCAAGCGUUAUCCGGAUUCACUGGGUGUAAAGGGAGCGUAGACGGCCAAGCAAGCCAGGGGGGAAAGCCCGGGGCCCAACCCCGGGACUGCCCUUGGAAC